GUCAAAGCGUUCAUUAAAGUCGAGUUGGCUUAGGGAUACGUUCGUUGGGUAGGGGAGCGUUCUGUAAGCCUGUGAAGGUGUGUCGUGAGGCAUGCUGGAGGUAUCAGAAGUGCGAAUGCUGACAUAAGUAACGAUAAAGCGGGUGAAAAGCCCGCUCGCCGGAAGACCAAGGGUUCCUGUCCAACGUUAAUCGGGGCAGGGUGAGUCGACCCCUAAGGCGAGGCCGAAAGGCGUAGUCGAUGGGAAACGGGUUAAUAUUCCCGUACUUGGUGUUACUGCGAAGGGGGGACGGAGAAGGCUAUGUUGGCCGGGCGACGGUUGUCCCGGUUUAAGCGUGUAGGUGUGUGUUCCAGGUAAAUCCGGUUCACUUUAACACUGAGGCGUGACGACGAGGCACUACGGUGCUGAAGCAACAAAUGCCCUG
rnacentral:rRNA from 1 species